GUCUAUUAUCAGCCAAAUAAUCAACCCCCAGCAUACACAGGCACCACACAGUGGGGAUAAUCCCCAGGUGAAAUGGGCUUUUAAUGAGCUGGUAAGGAGCAAACACAGAUGACUCGUCAAUGGACAAUCAGGGCUGGUGAGAAACCCCACUGUCUGAGGAGCCCUGCUUGCCCAGGGAUUGUUUAAUGCACCGGGUUAAGCACAAUGGGCCAUCGCUUUCCAGCGGUUCAUUGCUAUUCACCCCGCCGUGCCUGGCAGGGGAGAUUUACCCGGCAGGACAAGUCUAACGAGGGGCUGGGGAUGCAGAUGUGAGCACAACUGGCCACAGGCAUCCGGCUCUUGCAGGCGUGGAAGAAGCCUGGAAAUAAAGAGGCCAAAGGCUCUGAAGCGCCUCUCGCUAGCAUCACGCCAGCAAUUUCAAAUGGCAUCACCCCUGCCUGACACUGGCGAGAGCAGCCUCAGCCCCAGAGUGUUCUCGUGUCACUUCUCUUCCAACAGGGCCAAGAGGUGUCAGCCGAAGAUCAGGGCCCAGCUGCGCUAGGCGCUGCACAGACACAGCCUCAGAGGAGACAGAGCAAAGGAGUAUCCUCCUCCUCUUGUAUAGAUGGGGAACUGAAUCACAGUGAGAUGGAGCCACUUUCCCGGAGUCACACGGGACCUGAGCCAGGAGCUGGUGUAAGAUUUCAUAGAUUCAUAGACACUAAAACCAGAAGCCCAUUGUGCUAGACAGCCUAACCUCCUGUCUAGCACAGGCCAGAGAAUUUCCCCCAGAAGCUGGACUAGAGAGCUUGCCUUGUAGAAAGAGAUCUAAGCUCGUUUUAAAGACUCCACGUAGGGGCGCGUCUGUCCCCCACCUCUCCUAGUUAACGGUUCCAACGUUUCAUUACCCUCACUGCUAGGAAACUGCAUGUUCAUUUCGAGGCUGAAUUCAGCUAACUUCAAUGUCCCGCCGUUGGAUCAUGUUCUGCCUUUGUCUGCAAAACUGAGACCCCCCUGCUCUCAGCUUUCUUUUUCAUGUGCAUCAGCAGAGUGGCCUAUUUCCGUGCACCUGGGCAAGCAGCUAAAAGGUGUGUCGUUCACCAGGUGCUGGCUGAGCGGAGAUUAUUGACAGGCAAAGCAUCGGAGCAGGAAAGGAAUGGAGAAGUGGAACAUGGGCCAGCCCUGCAGCUGCUCCUCUCCUGGAGGGACGCCGAGAUGUCAGUUUGCUUGUUUUAGUUCUUGGUUUUUAACAUAAGAACGGCCAGACUGGGUCAGACCAAAAGUCCAUCUAGCCCAGUAUCCUGUCUUCCAACAGUGGUCAGUGUCAGGUGCCCCAGAGGGAAUGAACAGAACAGUGAUCAUCAAGUGAUCCAUCCCGUCGCCCAUUCCCAGCUUCUGGCAAACAGGGACACCAGCCCUGCUAAUAGAUAUUGAUGGACCUAUCCUCCAUGAACUUAUCUUGUUCUUUUUUGAACCCUCUUAUAGUCUUGACCUUCACAACACCCGCUGGCAAGGAGUUCCACAUGUUGACCGUGCGUUUUGUGUGUGUUAGUUCCCCCUUUGGGUUAUGCAGCCGGAGCCAUCAGGAGUGAGGCCCUGGGAGCGAUGGGUUGGGAAGGAGGCCAACCAUGGGAGUGGCAGAGAGGGACACAGACUGAGAGCACCGGGGCCCUGGGCUGAAUUCAUUCUGGUCCUCCCUGGUUCACUAUACCAAGAGCGGCUUGUGCUACGCCCAACCACACAGACCUUUCACUGGGCACCAAGACGGAGAGACCAGGAUGGCAGCUUCCACCGGCUGACUCACUCACUCUGGCUGGCAGCCAUCCCAGGCUCAGAGCUUGAUCCAACUUCCAUUGGAGUCAGUGGAAAGAUUCCUUGGAACUCAGGUUGGGCCCCUGGAGAACAUACCUGUAUGGAUGGGUACUACCAUCACCUUGUGUGGGGAUGCUCUUGGAGCCUACAGGUCAACAGAGGUCGGGUGGGCAGUUCUGGGCCGGGGCAGCCCCCCAUGUGCUGUGGGAAGUGGGGCUGGACAUUCAGUACAUAACACACUUCAAUCUCAGUCAGCCCUGAGCCAACGAGGCACAACCAGUGCCAGGCCCUCAGAAAUCAUGAGCCAGGCCCUCAAAAGUCAUGAGAAUUUACACAGCAAGUUCUAUUUCUUUGCCUCCUGGCACUGGAGCCAUUAGAGGUCACAUUUUCAAGCUUUUCUCAAAGCUUACUGCAAAGACUAGAAGCUUAGCUUGUUUGACAAUGAAAGCAGAGAUUCUCAGGGUUUCAUGUGACUCUGGGAGCUGAGGAUUUAAGGAAAAGCCCCAGAUACCACGAGAUCUGUGGUAAAAUCAUGGUACUAAGGGGGUGCUGCUGGAAAGUAGGAGAGGAAAAACUGAACUGUCCUGAUCGCUUGUGGGUGGUCCCAGUGCACUUUUCACAGGAGCAAGAGCCAGUGUUGCUAGCUUCACACCUUCAAAACUCAUGAGUCAGGCCCCAAAAAUGUCACAAGUCUGGCUUAAAAAUAAUAUUUUUUGAAAAAAGUCAUAUUUGGAGUUCUUUUUAAUUUUCUCCUAGUUUUGAACCUUUGGGUUGCACUUGUUUCAAGCUUUUCUCUGCAACCAGGAGGGCUAGAAACUUGCCUUUUCUUGUCAACGAAAGCUGAGAUUCUCAGACUCUCUCUGGAGUCCAGGAGCUGGGGCUUUCAAAAAUACACCGAAAAUUACGACUCAUGGUAAAACUAAUGCAAGUUGGCAACACUGCAAGACUGUUACCCAAAGCAGGUAGGCCUCAUUCCACUCUGGGUAAUUGCAUUCCACCUCCCAAAAUUUCUCCCCGCAAUGGCACUUGGAUUCUGCUUCACUUCCUGUCCUAAACUGUUGCAUAGCAUUACUAUGCGCUGAUAAACAACGGCUGCUUUCCACCUCAGAGGUGGCUGCAUUUCUGUAGUUGGUGAGCAGCUCCUUUCAUAUCCUUUAACCUACCUCACAGGGUUCUGAGAUGAAAGCACUUGGAGAUCUUUGGAUUCUGGGGCUGGGGCCUGGCUUAAAUGAGACUUCUGGGGGUUGCACGGGGGGAUGGAUUUAAUCUGGGUGUGGCAAUGUGUCAACAGCUCUCAAGAUUUUAUCACAAGUUUUAUGACAUUUGGUUUUGGUUUGUUUCUCAAAACCAGGCUGGGAGUCACGUGAGUAGGGGACAAGCUCAGCUUUUAUUUAUUUAAAAUAAAAAAAUGCUUUUUCCCAGUCCUUGUGGCUGCAGAGAAAAGCUUGAAAACAUGGCCCCAGUGCACCCUCAAGACUGAACAAAAAGAACCGCCAAUAAUAUUUAAAAAAAACAAAAAAAGAAAUCUCAUGAUUUGUAAAACAAUCUCAUGAUUUUUCAGGGCCUGAAUACUUGGAGCUGGUCCUACAGCUCAGUUCCCCCCACCCCCUACCCCCAAAAAUCUCCACCCAGCAACAGAACGAGAUUCAAAUCAUUUUCUGAAACGUCUGAUUGUCAAACCUCCCCCUCCCACCUCUUUUUGCUCUCUGGUGUUUUUGACUCUACCUCUAAAAACAAGCCGUGAAUUUCAUGCAGCUGCAGCCCCAGGUGUUUGGAGAGAGAGAGCACGGGGCAGGAAAUGGGGUUGCCAGUUUUCUCGCUCUCAUCUUUUUAUUUAAGAAGGCAGCUUCACUUUCUAAAAGAGGUGCUGGCCACAGUUUGAGGCGCAAUCUCAGGGAAGGCGUUUUUUUUGGGCAGGGUGCAGGGCUAGGAAAGGCAGUGGGAGGGUCCUCUCUCAUCCUCCAGCCUCCUCACACCUCUCAGAGAAGUCCCCAAGGCAGCCUUGGGGAUGGGGGCGGGGGUCAUUGCUGAAAAGGUCCAUCAGCCUGCACCCUCAAAGAGACGUGAGCUGAAGAAUGCAGGGCUUCAGCCUGCGAUCGUCGAGCGUCACGCGUGGCCCUAUGGGCCUGCCUGCCCAUGCAUCUAUCCCUAUGUGCAUUGGCCAAUCAGCGUCCCUAGUCCUGCCUCUGCAGGCAAACCAGGGAGUGUAUGCACCGGCCCUGAAUGCGCCUGUAACUGCACAGACUCCUGUGAACACAUGCACGUAGGCCUCCCAACGAGCCUGGGAACAGACCUUUGCCUGGAACGCCCCUGUGCUGGGUGCGUGAGUUUGCCCUGCGGGUUGUGGCUCUCCCUGUGACUGUAUUCGCACCUCUGUGGAUGCAUGCAGCUGUGAGUGCUGGUGCAGGAGGGGGGCCCUGCGAACAUGGCUGUAGCUCAGGACAGGCAGCCAGCCCAGUGUGUCCGAAAUGCCCUAGUCUCUCUCGGAGACUCCGUGAGUCAGCUGAUCCCUAGAUCCCUCUGCCAGCUGGAUGUAAGCAGGUCCCAAGCUGAGCCAUAUCAGAGGCGAGGCUGCUGCCCUGAGACUGGCACAGUCUGGUGCAUGGGAAACAGAAAGGGUUGGCGGCCAAGGAUCUGAGAUGUGGGAAAAAAGGGUAAGUCUACACUGCAAAAUCGCCAAACCAUGGCAGCGAGUCUCAGAGCCCUGGGCAAUUGACUUGGGUUCAUGGGGCUCAUGCUACGGGGCUAAAAAUAGCCAUGUCAACAUUCCCGCUGCAGGGGGAGCCCCAGCUCUGAGACCCCCCCCCAGUUUACAGAUGGGGAACUAAGGUACUGAGAAGCCAAGGGCCUGAUUUUUAAAAGGUCUUUUGGAACCCGUUGAUUUCAAUGGGAAUUAGACACCUCGCGACCUUUACAAAUCAGGCCCACAGGCGCUGGCUUAUGGUCACGCAGGAAGUCAGUGUCGGAGCAGGGGACUGAGCUGGGUCUCUGUCCUAGCCAUGGACCCAUCCUUCCAGAGUCAGGAUCCUGUUCCUUCACUCCCGCGAGGGACCAAGAGCUCACCCUGAAACAUACCGGAGCCAAAGGGAGGCCAGCAGGACAAAGCAAGUUGGGGGAGCUGGGGGGGAUAUCUCCUCAUCCAUGCCACCAGCUGCAAGAAUGCAGGGGGAGCCCCCCUCCCUGACUCUCAGUCCCUCCCCAGGCUCAGCUGGCACUGCCCACCUCAUGAUCUGAAAGCUACUUUCCCGCUUUCACUCCCUCCCCCCUGCUUUCUCUUUUUCUUGAUUUUCAUUUCUUUUUCCAGCGAAGUUCUGACCUAGACCUGGCUGAAAACCUGUGACAGUGUUUAAAGUGCCAGGGGGAGUCCCCCCAUCUCCCACCAUUUCCUAAUAGAGAAGUAUCAUCACUGCCCACACAUCUGCCAUUAGCCAGGAUGCUAAGCUGCCAGCCAUCUCGCUGGUCUGGCCACAGCUCCAGGGAUCACUCAGGGGGAACUUUCUUCCAUCACCCACUGCUGCAUACCUAGGCUCCCCUCACCGUGGUAUCUGGGCACCUCACAAGCAGGGCAGAACCCCUGCAGCAGGGUCAGGCUGAUCCCCAUUUUCCACAGGGGAACUGAGGCCCGGAGAGAUUGAGGGGCAAAUAUUCCAAAGAGCUCAGGGCCAGACUUUCAAAAAGGGCCCAGCUGCCAGCGGCGACACUUACCGCCAGGUUUGCAAAGGAGGCCGACACGCAGAGUGGUCAGCCCCUCGCAAAAGCUGGCCCUUCCUUAGGCCAGCCAGUAUGAGCUGAACAUCUGACCCACUCUGAUGUGCCCAAGGUCACUCAGGGUGCCGGGAUUUAAAACUGAGUCCUACUCUGGAGCCUUACCCGCACAACCGUCUGGCACCACAACUGUCAUUCCCCUUGCACCCUAUCUCGCUGCACUCACUUUGCUUCCAGCACUCCUGCACCCUAAUGUCAGGCUUUGACUCAAGGCUUUGCUCUGGAGUCAGAUGCUCUAACCAAAGCAAGCAGCUGUGGGGACUCUGCUUUCGGCAGCAAGGACUGUCUCUUAUUAUGUAUAUGUACAGUGAGGCCCCAAUGCUCCUAGGGCUUCCUAGAAUAGAAAGAAUGAAUAAUAAAGAAAUGCUGAAUGAA